rnacentral:lncRNA from 1 species
UCGGUUUCGUUGAUCCCCGUGUCCGUAAAAUAGGGACUGGCCUUGGAAGGUGUAGGUCUUGCACUGUUUCACAACUUCACAAGAUUCAGAUGGUAGAAAUCCUUAAGAUCUGCAAAGCAUCGAUAAGAAAAUGGAAUUUAUACCUUGGAGGACGAUGCUGAUGUCGCUAAUGCCAGGAUGAUCAAAAAGAUCCCAAUUCCAGAGGAGGCCAUUUGCCCCAUUGUGUAGAAUGCUCUAGCCUAGAGCUCUCCAUAUCUUAGAUAAAUAGAUAGAUACCAGAGUACACGUGAAAUACGUGAGCGUCGAUCCAUUAACACUGGGCCGAGGCUGAAGAAGGACGAGAUUGUGAAACAAAACUUGGCAGGAAGAGCUCGUGCAUGUCGCCGUUGGUUUCUCGACACAACAGUCAAGGAUAAUUUGUUCAAUCUCUCAAGUAUAGAACUGUGCAUUUUAUAUUAGUCCCAGCUGCACCAUACAGGGCAUAUCAAAAUGUGUGGACUACAAAAAUUUGAAUUCCCAUAUAAUCUCAAAAAGACAUAACAAGGAAAAAAAAGGAAUGAGAUCCUAUACUAGUUAUCUACCUUUAAACCUCGCAGCUGGAUCACACUUUAGUCUCCUACAAAAUCCAAGAACCAGGUUCUGCUUCACUUUUUUCACGUUUAAGUUCAUGGCAGAAGGGGCAACAAUUGCUAAUUCUAAUGAGGCUAACGGGACGAAGCUGGCCCACGAGCAUUUAAAACCCCCUCAUCAAAAUCUUCCAAGAUUCAUACCACUAUUUUUCCAUGUAUCUAAGAAAUGGAUGAGCAUUAGCGACAUCAUCAUCCUCCAUUUUCUUAUCUAUGCGAUCAAUGAAGACAUUGGCAGCCCCUCUUAAGCUCUUUUGUCAGAGGCACCAUAAGGUUUGAAGGAGCCACAGCACUGCGAGAGAAACGAGCAAAAAAACAAAAACAAUCUCUGUAACAAAGAAAUUGUAAAUCUAUUACGUUAAAAAUUAAGUCUUUUAUUUAAAGUGUACCUAUACGUGUUAGCAGCAAAGAUGAUAAGUAAAAUGACAGGAGUGCCUUUCAGAGGAAUCCUCAUCCUUUGGAACAGCUUUUUCACGUAGGAACCAGUGAAGACUACAACGACCAAAGCUAAAUAUGCACUCAAUAUUGACCACGAUGCCUUGGUUCCGAUGAAAUCGUAUACCACAUACAGGAGGCUGAAGAGGAGCGGCAACAUCAUCGUAGACAAGCUUGAAAAGAAGAUCACCCAAAGAGAAGACAUGAGAUUGUCGAGCUCCUGAGCUUUUCUUUCCUUGUUAUCAACAAUUGCUAUCAUACACCCAAAUAUGGAGAUAGUUGCAGCCAUAAAGAGGUGGAAGCAACGCCCCUUAUCCGCGGGUGUUGCAUUCUCUCUGAUCUUCUGUGCCACGUGGCAGGCGGCCCCCUCCCAGGCUGAGGCUCAGCCUGCGCCUUCUCCACGUGCUUUGGGCCCGGGAGAGUCCUCCCCGAUGAGGGAGAUUCCCAACUGGAGACAUGUGGAAGCCACAAAAGUGAAAGGUGUAAUCAGCAAUUUGGCCAAUCGCGCCACUAUUAACAAUGCCACUAGAAGAAAAUUUUACACCAACUUUCAUAAGGUAAUGCGACUACCCACUGCAUGUUCAGCCAUUUAAAGCAUAUUUCCGGGACAAACAACAAACUCCGAGAGGGAAAGACGAGAGAGAGACACUCAAGGUCUCAUUUUUAGUCUUGAUUCUUUUGAUUUCCUCUCGAACAAACGCAGCAAGCAGGGAAGAGAUCUCAUGGGUCUACAGGGAGAAGUAAGAUUGAGCGGUCUCAAAGUGAAAGUCCACAAGAUCUCGACGGUGGUUCCAGCCGGAGAGACCGAGCAAUGCACGCUCUUCAUGUCCAACAUCGACCAGGUACUGGCUUACUAUGUCGAGACACCUACCAUUUCUUGGCUGGGAGAUUCAAGCUCAAUCCCAAGCUGGGGAGGAUGGAGCUGGAAUGCAACCUCGAAGGGAUCUCUUAUCUGGGCGAUACCAGUGUUCCAAAUCAGCUCUUCCGCAAUCUCGUUCUCCUUCCGUACGAAGGCAAGGCUCUCAACGAUGCUCCUCUCAUCAUAAUCCAGGUUCGUUCCUUGUUUUUCUAGCGUUUGUUCUUCGUUCUUCCUUGGAGAGAGCUUGGUUUCUUUGGGUGUUGGAAUGCAUGAGGAUCGUAUGGUUGCUCCGCUGCCAAAGGGAUUCUCUGAGACCAUCGCCGACGAGUACGUACGGUCGUCUGCGCUCCACCGUGGGAAUUCAUCUCUCCGUGGUGGAAGAUCCGCUUCCAGGAGCUGCCGCUCUACGCGGGGCCCGUGGUAAACGACCGGGUAGAAUUUGUUUUACUAUAAUGGUAAACAGGAGCCGGCAGAGACCUCCAAGUUUGGCUGUUGGAUUGUUUUCCCUAGGAAAAUAGGAAAAUGGUUUUUUAUCGGACGGUGGACGGCGUCCGAUGUGAAGCCCAUCCCGACCGUUGGAUUCGUCGCUUAAACCUCUUUUCCUUUAAGCUUUUGGCUAUGGUCGCUGUGAGCCGAUCUCCGUGGAGCUCAAGCGGCACCCGCAUUGCCGUCGUGGGCUUUCCUCUGCGUCGUUUCUUCGUCGACGAUUGCCAUUGUCGGAGGCACCGUAAGGUUUGAACCACAGCACUGCGACAGAAACGAGCAAACACAAAAAAAAAAAGCUCUAUAAAGUUCGAAAACUCACUAUAACACAAAGAAACUGUAAAUUUAUCAAAGUCAUUUUUUAUAUAAAGUGUACCCAUACGUAUUAGCAGCAAAGAUGAUAAGUAAAAUGACAAGAGUGCCUCUCAGAGGAAUCCUCAUCCUUUGGAACAGCUUUUUCACAUAGGAACCAGUGAAGACUACAACGACCAAAACUAAAUAUGCACCCAUUAUUGACCACGAUGCCUUUGUUCUGCUGAAGCCGUAGACAACAUACAGGAGGCUGAAGACGAGUGGUAGCAUCAUUGUAGACAAGCUCGCAAAGAAGAUCACCCAAAGAGAGGACAUGAGAUUGUCGAGCUCCUGAGCUUUUCUUUCCUUGUUAUCAACAAUUGCUAUCAUACACCCUGCUAAUCCAAAUACGGAGAUGGUUGGAGCCAUAAAGAGGUGGAAGCAACGCCCCUUCUCCACGGGCGUUGCAUUCUCUUUGAUGAGGGAGAUUCCUGACUGGAGGCAUGUAGAAGCCACAAAAGUGAAAGGUGUAAUCCGCAAUUUGGCAAACUUCAAUGCUUCUUUGUUGGGGACAGCAUUAGCUUCUGCAAUCUUUCCCGCUUCUUCCAUUAAACUCAAAGUCCUUUCCCUGCAAGCUGCUGAUUUUGUUGAGCGGGAUGAUGAGAGUGCUAAGAUGGAUCACAUGGCCUUGAUCGACCAGCAAAACACACUAUAUAUUCUUUAGAUUCCGUGGAAUGCCUUGAAUCGGUAUUUGCCGCACGAUAAGCGACUUGCCACAAUAAAUAAUAACAUGUAUACUUUUCUAUAAAUAAUAACAUGUAUACUUUUCUUUGUUUUGUUCUUACAAGUCAAACUGAUUCUGGCAUUUUGCUACAUGAGCAGCAACGAGAAACAAAUCUCUGCAACAUGGCAAGUGUCACUUGAUUUUACAUGGGGAUCCGAUAACCUACAAACAGCUUCUUUGUGUCUUGUUCUUACAUAAUCUUGCAAAUCAAGUUCCUGGUAAACAGCUCGCUGGUGUUGUUCACGAUCCAGGGGUGACCAAGAACUUGCUCCACCGUCAGCCUCCGGCUCGGAUAAACCUCCAACAUCCCCAUGAUCAAAUCCUUUGCCUCGCUCGACACAUCACUCCAAUCCAGUGCAAACUCCACAUUGUCCACGCUUUUCAGCAAUGACUCCACAUAAUCAGAGUGGUACUCAGGGAACGCCACCCUUCCGCUAACGAGCUCAUAUAGAAUGAGUCCGAGCCCCCAAACGUCCACCGCUUGAGUGUAGUAUUUCGGCCAUCCGCCCUCACCAGCCCUGAGAACAUCUGGCGACAUAUACCCAGGGGUGCCACAAAGGUGGUGCAUCUCGUCUGCCCGGUCAGUCGCAACCCCAAAGUCAGACAGCUUCACCUCGUAAGGUUGCGCUGGAUGCGUCAGCAAAACGUUUUCCAGCUUCAUAUCCCUGUGCACCACCCCAAGGUUGUGCAUCUCCCUCAGCGUCUCGGCCAGGCUCUUGGUCACAAACGCCGCCUCGUCAUCCGCCAGCCUCCCCACCAUCUUGAGCCUGUCCCGGAGAGUGCACGAGCAGAGCUCCAAGAUUAGGGAUCCCCACCAGCGGCCCUUGCGCUCCUCCUCGACCAUGUCGUAGAUCUCUAGUGUACCAUGGCAGCCAUUGAGUUUGAGCAUGAUUUCCUUCUCUCUCUCACCCGACCUCUCGAAGCUCUUAGCCGCUAGCAACUUACCACCCAUUCUAAAGCUUACAAGGUGUACAGUGCCUUGCCCUCCCUUUCCAAGCUCAAAACCCACAUCGUACAUCUUCCUCAACGACGACAGCUCCUCGCUCACAACCAACUCACCAGUCUCGACCGCUCUCCACACAGUCAUGGCGAGAUUAAACAACGAUUGUUAGCGUGACCUAAAGGGAACUGCCUUUAAGUCUUGAUCAAACCAGAUUGAGUUAUGAUCAAGACUUGCAGACCUUUGCGGUGAAUUCCACGACAUAGAGAUUGUUUCCUUUGCUCGUUUCUUUCGCUGUGCCCGUGGCUCCUUCAAAUCUUCCGGUGCCACCAACGAUGGCGAAAAGAGCUUGAGAUCCAGCGGUCGAGCUCCCGGCCUCGCCUUGAAACUCGAGGCUGCUACCAUCAGCAAAGGAGCAAUGCGAGGACUGGAAGCUCCCCAGGCCGGUGUUUGCGAGGAUUCCCAUGUAUGUCCCCAUGCAUAACCUGGUAUAGCCCUUGGUGGAGACCAAGAAUGGGGCUGCGAAUGUCUGCAUUGAUCCGGGUCUACCAGCGUUGUCUUUGGGAAGAACGUAGAACUCGUUUUGGUUGAUCCCCGUGUCCGUAAACAGGGACUGGCCUUGGAAGGUGUAGGUCUUGCACUGUUUCACAAGAUCCAGAUGGUAGAAAUUCUUAAGAUCUUGACUAGCAAUGCAAAGCAUGGAUAAGAAAAUGGAGUCUAUACCUUGAUGGACGAUGCUGAUGUCGCUAAUGCCAGGAUGAUUAAGAAGAUCCCAAUUCCAGAGGAGGCCAUUUGGCCUAUUAUGUAGAAUGCUCUAGCCUAGAGCUCUCCAUAUCUUAGAUAAAUAGAAAGAUACCAGAGUACACGUGAAAUACGUGAGCGUCGAUCCAUUAACACUGGGCCGAGGCUGAAGAAGGACGAGAUUGUGAAACAAAACUUGGCAGGAAGAGCUCGUGCAUGUCGCCGUUGGUUUCUCGACACAACAGUUGAGGAUAAUUUGUUCGAUCUCUCAAGUAUAGAACUGUGCAUUUCAUAUUAGUCCCAGCUGCACCACACAGGGCAUAUCAAAAUGUGUGGACUACAAAAAUUUGAAUUCCCAUAUAAUCUCAAAAAGACAUAACAAGGAAAAAGUCUCUUCGGAGACACCAGAUAAAAUUGGAACGAUAACAAG